GAGAAGGAGUACAUGGAAGUGAUUCAGGAAAACAAGGAAAUGAGACACAAGUGGCAACAUUUGUCAAAGUUCUAUGCAUUUGUUCCUUUGGAUUUAAGUGAAACAUCUGGAGUCAAUUCUUAACCCAAUGUUGGUUUGUUGUCACCAACCUCUUUGCCCUGCUAUUGGACACAGUAAGAACCUUGUCAUCUGUAAAGCUGUAAGAGGACCCUUACCAAGAAAAUAACAAUGCUGGCACAGUUCUUUUGGACUUUCAGCCUCCAGAACUGGGAGAAAUAAAUGUUUGUUUUGUAAGCCACACAGUCUAUGGUAAUUUGUUAUAGCAGCCUGAGCUAAGACAAACCACGAUGCUCAUUACU